rnacentral:tRNA from 1 species
UGGCUCAAUCGGUAGAGCGCCUGACUGUCAGUCAGCAGGUCACUGGUUCGAGUCCGAU